ACAUCUCAACUCUCAUGGCUUGCCAUGAUGAGCUUGGACUUUGGGGGUCUUGCUGGCCUGUGAGCCAGCUCCUCUCAAAUAAAUUAGCUUGCCAGUGUUUGGUGGCAUCACAGGUGUGAUAACUAUCUACGCUUGUGGUUUCCCACCAGAUAACUUCCAGCAAUGGAGGUUCGCUGGGGCUCAUAAAUGUCUCUCCUUGGCGAGGACAGAUUUCGACC
rnacentral:misc_RNA from 1 species